rnacentral:misc_RNA from 1 species
GAUGAAGAACGCAGCGAAAUGCGAUAAGUAAUGUGAAUUGCAGAAUUCAGUGAAUCAUCGAAUCUUUGAACGCACAUUGCGCCCCUUGGUAUUCCGAGGGGCAUGCCUGUUCGAGCGUCAUUAUAACCCCUCAAGCUCAGCUUGGUGUUGGGGCCUGCUGCACUGGCAGCCCUUAAAAUCAGUGGCGGCGCCAUCUGGCUCUAAGCGUAGUAAUUCUUCUCGCUAUGGAGUCCUGGUGGAUGCUUGCCAUCAACCCCCAAUUUUUCUAUGGUUGACCUCGGAUCAGGUAGGGAUACCCGCUGAACUUAAGCAUAUCAAAGCGGAGGA